CAGUCGCCACGGUAAUACGGAGGGGGCUAGCGUUGUUCGGAAUUACUGGGCGUAAAGCGCACGUAGGCGGCUUUGUAAGUCAGAGGUGAAAGCCUGGAGCUCAACUCCAGAACUGCCUUUGAGACUGCAUCGCUUGAAUCCAGGAGAGGUCAGUGGAAUUCCGAGUGUAGAGGUGAAAUUCGUAGAUAUUCGGAAGAACACCAGUGGCGAAGGUGGCUGACUGGACUGGUAUUGACGCUGAGGUGCGAAAGCGUGGGGAGCAAACAGGAUUAGAUACCCCAGUAGUCCCUGUCUCUUAUAC
rnacentral:rRNA from 1 species